CCAGACUCCUACGGGAGGCAGCAGUGGGGAAUAUUGCACAAUGGGGGGAACCCUGAUGCAGCGACGCCGCGUGAGGGAAGAAGGUUUUCGGAUUGUAAACCUCUGUCCUCUGUGACGAUAAUGACGGUAGCAGAGGAGGAAGCCACGGCUAACUACGUGCCAGCAGCCGCGGUAAUACGUAGGGGGCAAGCGUUAUCCGGAUUUACUGGGUGUAAAGGGAGCGUAGACGGAAAGGCAAGUCAGAAGUGAAAGCCCAAGGCUCAACCAUGGGACUGCUUUUGAAACUGUCAAACUAGAGUACGGGAGAGGUAAGAGGAAUUCCUAGUGUAGCGGUGAAAUGCGUAGAUAUUAGGAGGAACACCAGUGGCGAAGGCGUCUUACUGGACCGAAACUGACGUUGAGGCUCGAAAGCGUGGGGAGCAAACAGGAUUAGAUACCCCCGUAUU
rnacentral:rRNA from 1 species